CUUGGACACAAGCAAGAGUAACCACUGGCAGUCACUGUGCAGGUUCCUUGGUUGCGGCAAGGGUUAGAAUCACAAUCAGACGUCUGGACAUGGCAGAACUCACCACUAUAGCCCUGGAGAAUUGAAAAGCAAUCAUAGAGUACAAGUCGCUCCAUACUUGGUGUCUUUGCAGGUACCACCAUGUUCACAAGGACUCUCAGCGCAGGUAACCCUCAUGUUACAGGUUUUACCUAUAGAUAAAGAACAUAGAUUGAGCAUUUAAACUGAUCUCAGAACAAAAAGAUCUCUAAGAAAUAAGAAACUGUAACUUAGAGUCGCCAUAGUUUCAACAAAAAUGUCUUUACACACCUGUCCAUCCCGGCUUACAGUCACAUCGGUAGUUGUUAAUGAGCUGGACGCAGUCCUGAGUACCGUAUGGGUCACAUGGAUUGGACAAGCACUCAUUGACAUCUCCCUCGCAUCUCUUUCCUACAAAUCCAGGGGGACAGAUGCACUCA